rnacentral:rRNA from 1 species
CGGGCUGAGUAACACGUAGGAACGUACCCCAAACUGAGGGAUAAGCACCAGAAAUGGUGUCUAAUACCGCAUGUGAUCUUCGGAUGAAAGCUUCGGCGGUUUGGGAACGGCCUGCGCAUGAUUAGCUUGUUGGUGAGGUAAUAGCUCACCAAGGCGACGAUCAUUAGCUGGUCUGAGAGGAUGAUCAGCCAGACUGGGACUGAGAACGGCCCAG